GGAUGAACGCUGGCGGCGUGCCUAACACAUGCAAGUCGAACGGGUAGCUUCGGCUAUCAGUGGCAAACGGGUGCGUAACACGUAGGGAUCUACCGCAUAGAUGGGGACAACGGCUGGAAACGGUCGCUAAUACCCGAUGGCCUCCGAGGAGGAAAGUCUCACGACGCUAUGCGAGGAGCCUGCGGCCUAUCAGGUAGUUGGUGGGGUAAAAGCUCACCAAGCCGACGACGGGUAGGGGGUGUGAGAGCAUGACCCCCCACACGGGGACUGAGACACGGCCCCGACUCCUACGGGAGGCAGCAGUGAGGGAUAUUGGGCAACGGACGCAAGUCUGACCCAGCGACGCCGCGUGGAGGAGAAGGGCUUCGGCUCGUAAACUCCUUUUCCCGAGGACGAGACAAGGACGGUACUCGGGGAAUAAGUCUCGGCUAACUACGUGCCAGCAGCCGCGGUAAUACGUAGGAGGCAAGCGUUAUCCGGAAUUACUGGGCGUAAAGGGCGUCUAGGUGGCAGCCCAAGCGGGGUGUGAAAGCUCCUGGCUUAACUGGGAGAGUGCGCUCCGAACUGGGCAGCUAGAGGGCAGGCGACGGAGGUGGAAUACCCGGUGGAGUGGUGAAAUGCGUAGAGAUCGGGUGGAACACCAGUGGCGAAGGCGGCCUUCGAGCCUGUGCCUGACACUGAAGCGCGAGAGCGUGGGGAGCAAACGGGAUUAGAUACCCCGGUAGUCCACGCCGUAAACGAUGAUGACUAGGUGUAUGGGGUCUUAACAGGCCCUGUGUGCCGCAGCCAACGCGAUAAGUCAUCCGCCUGGGGAGUACGGCCGCAAGGCUAAAACUCAAAGGAAUUGACGGGGGCCCGCACAAGCAGUGGAGUAUGUGGUUUAAUUCGAAGCAACGCGAAGAACCUUACCAGGGCUUGACAUACCGCUGACCGGUCUGGAGACAGACCUUUCCUUCGGGACAGCGGAUACAGGUGGUGCAUGGUUGUCGUCAGCUCGUGUCGUGAGAUGUUGGGUUAAGUCCCGCAACGAGCGCAACCCUUAUUGUUAGUUGCCAUCAUUAAGUUGGGCACUCUAGCGAGACUGCCGGUGACAAAUCGGAGGAAGGUGGGGAUGACGUCAAAUCAUCAUGCCCCUUAUGUCCUGGGCUACACACGUACUACAAUGGCUGAUACAGCGCGAAGCGAGGCCGCGAGGCGGAGCAAAUCGCGAAAAUCAGUCCCAGUUCGGAUUGCAGGCUGCAACCCGCCUGCAUGAAGUCGGAAUUGCUAGA
rnacentral:rRNA from 1 species